GACGAACGCUGGCGGCGUGCUUAACACAUGCAAGUCGAGCGGUAAGGCCCCUUCGGGGGUACACGAGCGGCGAACGGGUGAGUAACACGUGGGUGACCUGCCCUCAGCUCUGGGAUAAGCCUGGGAAACUGGGUCUAAUACCGGAUAUGACUCCAUGAUGCAUGUUGUGGGGUGGAAAGCCUUGUGCGGCUGAGGAUGGGCCCGCGGCCUAUCAGCUUGUUGGUGGGGGAUGGCCUACCAAGGCGACGACGGGUAGCCGGCCUGAGAGGGCGACCGGCCACACUGGGACUGAGACACGGCCCAGACUCCUACGGGAGGCAGCAGUGGGGAGUCUUGCGCAAUGGGCGAAAGCCUGACGCAGCGACGCCGCGUGAGGGAUGACGGCCU
rnacentral:rRNA from 1 species